GGGGGAAUAGCUCAGUUGGGAGAGCGCGGCGUUCGCAACGCCGAGGUCGGGGGUUCGAAUCCCCUUUCCUCCACCA
rnacentral:tRNA from 1 species